GAUGAAGAACGUAGCGAAAUGCGAUACUUGGUGUGAAUUGCAGAAUCCCGUGAACCAUCGAGUCUUUGAACGCAAGUUGCGCCCGAAGCCAUUAGGCCGAGGGCACGCCUGCCUGGGCGUCACACGUCGUUGCCCCCCCAUCUAAUCCUUCGGGAUUGCGGGGGGCGGAUGAUGGCCUCCCGUGCGCCUCGUCGCGCGGUUGGCAUAAAUGCCAAGUCCUCGGCGACGCACGCCACGACAAUCGGUGGUUGCGAAACCUCGGUUGCCCGUCGUGUGCGGUCGUCGCGCAUCGAGGGCUCGAAAAAAUUGCCGGGCUUCGGCUCGACUUUCAACGCGACCCCAGGUCAGGCGGGGUUACCCGCUGAAUUUAAGCAUAUCAAUAAGCGGAGGA
rnacentral:misc_RNA from 1 species